rnacentral:rRNA from 1 species
UACGUAGGUGGCGAGCGUUAUCCGGAAUUAUUGGGCGUAAAGAGCGCGCAGGUGGUUGAUUAAGUCUGAUGUGAAAGCCCACGGCUUAACCGUGGAGGGUCAUUGGAAACUGGUCGACUUGAGUGCAGAAGAGGGAAGUGGAAUUCCAUGUGUAGCGGUGAAAUGCGUAGAGAUAUGGAGGAACACCAGUGGCGAAGGCGGCUUCCUGGUCUGUAACCGACACUGAGGCGCGAAAGCGUGGGGAGGCAAACAGGAUUAGAUACCCGGGUAGGU